rnacentral:tRNA from 1 species
GGAGAGUUGGGUGAGUGGUUUAAACCAUCGCUUUGCUAAAGCGACGAUCUCGAAAGGGGUCCACAGGUUCGAAUCCUGUACUCUCCG